GACGAACGCUGGCGGCGUGCUUAACACAUGCAAGUCGAACGGAAAGGCCCUGCUUUUGUGGGGUGCUCGAGUGGCGAACGGGUGAGUAACACGUGAGUAACCUGCCCUUGACUUUGGGAUAACUUCAGGAAACUGGGGCUAAUACCGGAUAGGAGCUCCUGCUGCAUGGUGGGGGUUGGAAAGUUUCGGCGGUUGGGGAUGGACUCGCGGCUUAUCAGCUUGUUGGUGGGGUAGUGGCUUACCAAGGCUUUGACGGGUAGCCGGCCUGAGAGGGUGACCGGCCACCUUGGGACUGAGAUACGGCCCAGACUCCUACGGGAGGCAGAAGUGGGGAAUAUUGCACAAUGGGCGGAAGCCUGAUGCAGCAACGCCGCGUGCGGGAUGACGGCCUUCGGGUUGUAAACCGCUUUCGCCUGUGACGAAGCGUGAGUGACGGUAAUGGGUAAAGAAGCACCGGCUAACUACGUG
rnacentral:rRNA from 1 species